AGCGAACGCUGGCGGCAGGCUUAACACAUGCAAGUCGAACGCCCGUAGCAAUACGGGAGUGGCAGACGGGUGAGUAACGCGUGGGAACAUGCCCUUUGGUUCGGAAUAACUCAGGGAAACUCGAGCCAAUACCGGAUAAGCCCGAGAGGGGAAAGAUUUAUCGCCGAAGGAUUCGCCCGCGUCCGAUUAACUAGUUGGUGAGGUAAUGGCUAACCAAGGCGACGAUAGGUAGCUGGUCUGAGAGGAUGAUCAGCCACACUGGGACUGAGACACGGCCCAGACUCCUACGGGAGGCAGCAGUGGGGAAUAUUGGACAAUGGGGGCAACCCUGAUCCAGCCAUGCCGCGUGGGUGAUGAAGGCCCUAGGGUUGUAAAGCUCUUUCGGUGGGGACGAUAAUGACGGUACCCGCAGAAGAAGCCCCGGCUAACUUCGUGCCAGCCGCCGCGGUAA
rnacentral:rRNA from 1 species